rnacentral:rRNA from 1 species
CGGGCCCGCACAAGCAGCGGAGCGUGUUGGUUUAAUUCGAUGUUACACGAAGAACCUUACCAGGGUUUGACAUGCAAGUGGUAGGAAGCCGAAGGUGACCGACCCUUCGGGGAGCUUGCACAGGUGCUGCAUGGCUGUCGUCAGCUCGUGUCGUGAGAUGUUCGGUUAAGUCCGCUAACGAGCGCAACCCUCGCUGUGUGUUAUAUGUGUCACACGGGACUGCCGGUCUUAAGCCGGAGGAAGGUGGGGAUGAUAUCAAGUCCUCAUGGCCCUUAUGUCCAGGGCUACACACGUGCUACAAUGGGCGGUACAAAGGGUCGCAAACCCGUAAGGGGGAGCUAAUCCACCAAAAGCCGUCCUCAGUUCGGAUUGAGGUCUGCAACUCGACCUCAUGAAGCUGGAAUCGCUAGUAAUCGCGGAUCAGCACGCCGCGGUGAAUACGUUCCCGGGCCUU